rnacentral:rRNA from 1 species
AGUCGUACGAGGUUACNGGCUUCGGUUCGGGAUCUGCCGGCGGACGGCUGAGUAACACGUGAGGAACUUGCCCUCCGGUGGGGGACAACCACGGGAAACCGUGGCUAAUACCGCAUGAUGUCACGUUUCAUAAGUGAUGUGACCAAAGAUUUCGGUUGCCGGAGGAGAGUCUCGCGGCCUAUCAGCUAGUUGGUGAGGUAACGGCCCACCAAGGCGAUGACGGGUAGCCGGUCUGAGAGGAUGAUCGGCCAGAGGGGGACUGAGACACGGCCCCCACUCCUACGGGAGGCAGCAGCAGGGAAUCUUGCGCAAUGGGCGAAAGCCUGACGCAGCGACGCCGCGUGGGGGAUGAAGGCUUUCGGGUUGUAAACCCCUUUUGCUGGGGAAGAAGAUCUGACGGUACCCAGCGAAUAAGGCCCGGCCAACUACGUGCCAGCAGCCGCGGUAAAACGUAGGGGCCAAGCGUUGUCCGGAAUUAUUGGGCGUAAAGGGUGCGUAGGCGGCCCGGUAAGUCUCGUGUGAAAGCUCCCGGCCCAACCGGGAGAGGUCACGGGAUACUGCCGGGCUUGAGGAUAGCAGAGGAAGGUGGAAUUCCCGGUGUAGCGGUGAUAUGCGUAGAUAUCGGGAGGAACACCUGUGGCGAAAGCGACCUUCUGGGCUAUUUCUGACGCUGAGGCACGAGAGCGUGGGGAGCGAACCGGAUUAGAUACCCGGGUAGUCCACGCCCUAAACGAUGAGUGCUAGAUAUGGGGGUAUCGACCCCCUCCGUGUCGAAGCUAACGCAUUAAGCACUCCGCCUGGGGAGUACGGCCGCAAGGCUAAAACUCAAAGGAAUUGACGGGGGCCCGCACAAGCAGCGGAGCGUGUG